GGAUAGGGGUUCCUGAAGUUCUAACAGACAAUGCACAAGUCCGAGAAGGAUCAUCAAUACGACUCGUCUGCCAAGUAGAUGCUUCUUCAAACGAGAUGUUAAAGAUUACAUGGCUCAGAGAUGGCAUUCCUCUGGUCUCGAAAACAUCAAGAAUUAUCCAACUACCUGAAUAUGGCACGAUACUCCAAAUUACCUCAGCUAAGUCCAGUGACUCAGGCCUUUAUCGCUGUAAUGUAAGCAAUGCAUUUGAGGAGAGCAUGGCCAGUACAGAAAUGACCAUAUCGGUCACCAAAAGGACGUUACAGCCUCCAUGGGGCAUCUUGAUGGGUCCCUCAGAUACAGAUGCCAUGGCUGGUAGUGAUGUUAUACUAGAGUGUCUCCUGACUGGACAAGACAAUGUGGAUGUCACAUGGAGACGAACAGGUAGGGUUCUUUAACAUUGAGGGCCAACUUGUGGGAGAUCUUAGACUCUGUUCUCAUUACCAUCCUAAAACUAUUUUAGUAGAAACUAGUUUAACCCUAAAAAGGCCCGGGAAGGGGGGGGGGCGGAUUUCGCCCCCUAUACAUUUUUCACAAUAAAUCUGCCGCACAAAAUUCUUUUAAAGCUUUAAAUCUUUUGAAGGUUGUGUCCAAAAUGGAUUGGGGUGCUGAUCGCAUUGUCCUUCUCCGUUUAUAUAGAUCUUUAGUUAGAUCUAAGCUUGAUUAUGGCAGUGCAGUUUAUAGUUCCGCUCGAAAGUCAUAUCUUGAAAAAUUGAAACCCAUACAGAAUCAAGGACUUCGACUUUGUCUAGGAGCAUUUCGUACAUCUCCUAUGGAGAGUCUUUAUGUUGAGGCUAAUGAACCCCCCUUACAUCUAAGGUACGAAAAGCUCUCUUUACACUAUGCGAUAAAGCUAAAAAAUAACUCUCAUAAUCCGACAUAUGAUUGUACAUUCACGCCACGAUAUAUUAAUUUUUAUACUAGUAAACCAUCAGCCAUCAAAACUUUUGGUUUACGUACUAAAGAAGCUUUAACACAUAUACUGGAUGCUACUAACGUAGCUCCUUCCUUGAUAUCUAAUAUUCCACCAUGGAUGAUUGCUGAACCAGUAAUUGAUUUUACACUAAGAACAUAUAAAAAGGGUUUUACAAGUGAUUUAGUUUUCCUAAAUAAAUUUGGAGAAAUAAGACAUAAAUAUAGUAAUUAUCGUGCAAUCUAUACAGAUGGAUCAAAACACCAGAAUAAAGUAGGUGCGGCUUGUAUAAGUGGUCCUAUACAAAGACAAGUCAGAUUGCCAGAUAGUUCUUCCAUAUAUACUGCUGAGUUAUUAGCCUUGAAAAUGGCUUUAGGUGUUGUAGAAAACUGUGUCGGUAGACUUUUUGUUAUUUAUACAGAUUCUUUGUCUUCUUUAACGGCAUUACAAAAUAGAAAUCAUAAACAUCCUUAUAUUGUUCAGUUAUUGGAAAUUCUGUAUAAACUCAAUACACUAGGUAAACGAAUAAUAUUUGUUUGGAUACCAAGCCAUACAGGUAUUCAAGGUAAUGAAAAAGCUGAUAAGUUAGCUAAAGAAGCUUUAGAUCUGGAUAUAACAGAAAUACAGAUACCUUACACUGAUCUAAAAUCAAAGGUUAAUACUUAUAUUAGAAAUAAAUGGCAAACAUCAUGGGAUCUAAAUCCUAAUAA